rnacentral:rRNA from 1 species
AUGGAUCAGACACAAGACAUACCAGGAGGUUGCCACAAGAUUGAGUGGUCACGUUGGUCCUUGGUGGUGGUGGCCGUCCCAAAAGACGACGGAUCUACUCGAUGCCCGUGGUUCUCGGCACUGGUUCGCACGGGUAAGCACAUGCUACAACGGCUGCGAGGCAUGGGCGAUUGGAACGUGAAGGCGAGGAGAGGCCGAUGGAUUGUGGUGGCGCCAGUGUCAGCUGUGAGGAAGCAUGCCGGGGCACGUAAAGAGAAGUUAGUCACGCCGGUGAGGAGGCCAGUCGGUUAUGUUUGUUGGGGUGUGUAUCCCCGUGAUCCAGCCAAGGAGCCGAUGUGCUUGACAGGGGAAGGCCCCACCGCCGCCACUGUGAUGAGCAGCCGACAGUCUUGCCCUACGGGGCCCGUCGUAGAAGAUGUCGAUGGCAACGGGGACCUGGCCAACAUCACCUCCAUCAUCCUGGAUGCCCUGAUUGUUGAGCACCUUCAUGGGGUUACCGAUACUUAUGAGGUCCCACGGCUUCUACCCCUGCACCGCCACAUCGAUAUUGGUGACGGAAUUAACCUCAAUGAUGUGGAGUCCGAUUGGGGAGUCACAACUAUUGGUCAAUUGAUAUUCUGGGAUCAUUCCUUGCGCGUCCAUGGAAAUUCUUCCGUCCUUGCUAUUAGCCCCAAACCCGAUUCAGCGGUCUUUGGACGUGGAGACUCUUUGUUUCAUUUGAGAAGGUGCCAUAUCGACAAGUGCCCUAAGAUUCAUGUAGUUUUCGCCUCUUGCACCAACGAGUGGUCUUAUUCCUUUCCUCAUUUGGAGACCAUCUGGGUGACCAAUCUCCCAAUGGCUGGCUGCAUUUGGAGCAAAGGAAUGAUUGGGGCAUUUGAGGAAGAAUCUGUUAUUAGGGAACUGCGGAGCAUACACUUGCAGAACUGCCCAAGGCUCAAGUUUGUCCUCCCAAUCUCAUCAUUCAUAUUACCCAGCCUGGAGACCAUCCAAAUAGUCCACUGCGGUAAUCUCAGGCAGAUCUUCCCAUGGGAUGCCAAGAUGUUUGCUCCCAAGCUUGAGAAGAUCAGGAUAAGGGGUUCUUGGGGCCUUAGGCGCCUCCCGGCUGUGGGCCUCCACCAUGGAAUCAAUCUUCCCAUUGUGGACUAUGAGAAGGACUUGUGGGACAGGCUAGAGUGGAACGGUCUGGAGGCCGGGCACCACCCGUCACUCUUUGAGACACAUCACUCAUGGUAUUACAAGAAGGCAUUGCCUUGA